rnacentral:lncRNA from 1 species
AAAAGUGUCUCCAUGAUAUUUAUGGGAAGACGGAAUGCAAGAAGGAGAGCCCAGGAAGAUUGGCCUGGAAGAUGUGACCCACCUCCCAUGUCUGCAGCUAUGCUCACCAACCUGUGUGAAGAUCUGUGAAGUCCUAGUCUGCCCUGCUCUGUGAUAUGUGCAUAUCUUUAGUGACUUGGGCAGCCCCUCCUUGGCCGUGAGCCACAUGUGGCACCACCUUUUGGCCAUUUGCCCACUAGUGCCACCUCCUUCCAUCGCCAAAGCAGUGGGAUCACUGGAUUUGCAUUUGGCUACCAGAUGUUGCAGGAAGGAAUUGAAGAGACAGACACAACUCAGCACCAACUCUACCCUUAUCUUGGGGAACCCCUCUAUUCCAAUCACCCCCGUGCUCGGACAGAGAAUAUUGUGUCUGUUUGGUUCGUUGUCUUCAAAGAUUAGCACUCAUUGUCAAUUUGAUGACACAACCUAGACUCACCUGGGAAGAGUCUAAAUAGGGGAUUGUCUGUUUAGAUUGGGUUGGGGACCUGUCUGUUGGGGAUUUCCUAAUUACUUUAGCUGAUAUGUGAAGACCCAGCCCACUGUGGGCAGCACCAUUCCUUAGUUAGGAGGUCUUCGACUGUAUAAGAGUGGAGAAAUGAAGUUGAAGGUGAGAAGCAACAGGAUCAACAUGCAGGCACUCAUUUCUCUGCGCAUGACUGGAUGUCACAUGACCAGCUCCUAUCUUGACUUCUCCACAACAGUUGAACUAUAACCUGGAAUUGUAAGCCAAAAGUAAGCCCCUUUUGCUCCUAAGUUGUUUUGUUUUAUUUUGUGUUGUUUGUCAGAGUAUUUUCUUCCAGCAGCAGACUUAAAACUAAGUUCUUUCUGGGUAAGAGAUCCAUUAGUUAUUAACUCCAUAGAUGGACAGACAACAGCAUAGCGUGGGUUCUGGGGAGAGACCAGGCACACAUGGCAGAGUCCUGCUCUUCCUUAGAUGCUGGAGGACUGAAAGAGCCAUAGAGGUCAAAGAC